AGACCCUGUCUUAAAAAAAUUCUCCACAGCAGUACCUAGAUUAGUGUUGGUUGAAUAACCAGGGUACAGGAGUCUUGGGGAACCAUCUUUAGAAUUUUGCCAACCACAGGACUGAUGAAGCAGAAAGCCAGAGAACCAGCAAGGAAAGGACCACUUAGGUUCAGUGGACCAGUGCCUCACGGAGCAACAAGCACCCUUCAGGAUCACCUAGUCCUGCCCUUUUAUUCUCUGGAUUGGAACAUCAAUACUUAGAGAGGGGAAGGGAAUUUAUAAUAAAUCUUCUACACAUCCACCUUGGGCCAGAUGUUGUACUAAAUGCUUAUGGAGAAUAUAGAGAUAAAUAAGACUCAGCAUCUGUCCUUAGGAUUUUAUUACCCAUGCAUCCAAAGUCCAUGGAAGUUUUUCUUAAGAAAAUAGUUUAUUUAAUCCUUGGAAAUUAUAGAGUUGUGUGCUAGAAAUGGACCUCACAGAUCAAAUGUUCCAGUGUUUCUUAAGAAUAGAAACAGUGACUUUACGUGACAUGUAGACCAACAUUUUAAAUUGUAAUCAUAAUGUCUUAAUGUUACCUUCUAUUUAUGGCAAAUGAUGCUAUUUUCUCUGCAUUACAAUGACAUAAAGUUUCCUUUUGCCCUCUUUUUUCCUUUUUUCAACUUGCAUUUACGGAUCACUUACUCUAGAAGACAACAGAAGAUGGCACUGAAAGCUUUGGCUCUGGAAAAAGAGUUACCUGGAUACUGAUCCUGACAUCUCUCACUUAAACUCUCCAAGUCUCACUUUCUCAUCAGAUAGUACUUUAAUCAGCAUUUAAUGACCCAGUCGAAAAUUCAUCGUUUGGACCCAAGCACUGGUGGGAAGGCAGGAGGAGAGGCCUGCCUGCCUGCCUUGCUCCCUCCCUCCUGAGCCCUACAGCAGGCCAUGGAGUGGUAGGCUUGGCCCAUUCUCUAGACCUUGGAAGAUAAUGUUCCAUAGAGGCUUGUUCUGAGGCUUUACCAGGACAAACCAGAGAAGAACCAAGCAAUGUAACUCAUCCCAGCCUAACUAUCCUUCAAGGGCAAUCAACCUACAGCAUCCAAGCACAGAGAAAUCAAAUCCAUGGAGAAUCUUUCAGUUAGGCUCAGAAUUUAUUUGGGACACUGGAUUCACUGUUCUCAAGAUCUUAGUUGUAUUCAUCCAUGAUUUGACCUACUUUAGAGUGAGAAGAUAGUCUUCCUGGGCUCAGACUAGUUGAAGGUAAGGAGACAGGCCACUGGGUGUGGGGAGACCUCUCGUGGGAUAAUACACACACAAAACCAAGAGAUGCUCACUGUGGUGCAGGAGACAGCAGGGGCCUGAAGCCAGAGGUUCUCUCUGUGUCCUUGAAUACACUUUACUCCUCUGACCCCUUACUGUGAUUUGGAGAGAGACAGUAUAGGAUGGCCUCUGCAGGCAGGGAGGUCUGGUUAUGGUCCCAGCUCUUCCUAAAUUGGGUAAGACUCAUUCUGAGACUUAGUUUCCUCUAUCAUCUCUCAAUAGAACCAUAAAGGUACUUUCUUCUUAGUAUUGUUUUAAAAUUCAGUAAAAUAAUAAAGGCUUAGCACAGGGUCUGAUAUAAAUUUUCAAUGAAUUAUUGUUGUCAAUAUUGUUCUAGAAAACAAGAGAGCAUAUUAGAAGAUCAAAAGUACUGCCAAUCGCUGAAGUGCCAAUUCUAGAUCCAGUCUCAGCCUUUUGAGAACUGAUAUCAUUGUUUUCAAGCCAUUCAAAAACCAAUGUGAAUUGAACACCUAGUAUGAGCCCUCUGGGGGAAGAGCCAAGUCCUGCAUUUUUUAUCUUAAGGGGUCUUCAGUAACUCUCGCCCACAACAGUAUCUCCAUUAGGAUUCCUCUCUGAUAGUGUUCAUUUCUUUUUUCUCAAUGGAUGCCUUAAAAAAAAAAUCCUUGAAGAAAACCUGUACUCCUCAAAUAUACCACUCAGGAAACCUGUUCUCCUCAAUGGUCACUCAGGUGACCAUUAAAUCAUUUACAUGUUAAUUUCUUUUCAGAUAUGUGUCUUUUUCCCUAGUUACAUAAUGAGAACCUUGAAGGCAGGGACAGAUCUUAGACUUCCUGAUGCCCCCAUACAUCCAGGUACAGAGUAGGUCCCUGGACAUCCGUAUAAGGCCCAUGAGCCUGAUAACUGCCCAGGUAGGUACUGUGUGCCUGGGCCUGGGAAGGACAAAAGAAAGGGCACUAAAGGGGUUCCUGGGAAUGAAGAGGCCCUCUGACUUUAGAAGGGAGCCCAUACACUUUUUGGACUGGAACAAUCAGAAAGUUCUUUCUGGAGCAGCAGCAGCCAGAAAGACCUGGGGCACUGGGUCGACCAAAGCCCUUCCCAAGGCUGCAGUGGCCCCAGCCAGUUAGCCCAGCCUCCCUACCAGCCCCAGGGCUGCAACUGAACAGUGCUGGCCUCUUAAUAAAAACAGCACCAAAGCAAAGCCCUAACUUCACUGGAGAAAUAGCCCUGCGCCCUUCCAUCCAUUAACAUUUUGCACCUUAAUGCAGCCAUAUUUUUGGAAAGCCAAUUCAUAUUGGCUGAGAAGCUUAUUAGUAUGCAGCUCUGGUUAGGGGUGGGGGAUCCUGGGAGGGGGGCACUCUGCAAAGGGGAUGUAAUUAAGCCUCAGAAUGGUCGAUAUAUACACCAAAAGGGGGGGCGGUACUUGGGGGACCUAGAGCAAGACUGAUGGGCUUGUCCAAAAGGUUUGUGUGUAUGAAGGCUUGACCGUUUCUGGGAAGUCCCACCGUGACUGCCACCCUUGCUCACCCCUGGCCCCCACCAGAGCAGGGCCACCCACUCACCCUUUGGGUGUCUAACUUCGAAUUUCCCAAGCAGACCCUAUCGGGCAGCUCUUCUAAAAUAAAAUACAUCAUCAUUUGCUCCAUUAGAAAAUAAAUGUAUGGCUAUAUUAUGGGAUUUGCAUUCCAUUACCUUGGUUUGCAUGCCAUAAAACAUUUAUUACACCCUUGGGCUAAAGUCUUAAUAAUGACUGGGUGUGAGGCACUAAUGUGGUGCUGGUCUUGCUCAGGAACCAGAGAUUAAUGCCUUUUGAUGUCACUCAGCUAAUAGUUGUGCUCACCAAUUUGUCCCAUCAGAAGACAUUAGAGUCAGGCCCUGUGCAAGGGUGGGGGAACCACUGCUCAGCUUCAGCUGGGAAUCGAGGCUCUCUGUUCAAAACUGCCGGAAUGAAAUCUCAGAGUUCCCCCUCUUCAAUCCCCCAUCUACUUCUACCCCCGCCCCAGCCCUGGCCAAGUCCCCACCCCUGGGUGUGAAAACUACAAAAAGAGGUUUAAAUGUCUGCCCUCCUGUCAGACAGCGGCGGAGGUGGCAGCAGUCAUGGGUGGGCAUGGAUAUGUGUGUACGUGCAUACAUACACCACACACACACACACUCCUCCCUUCCCUGUUAAGGAAUUGCUUCACCAGGCCUGCCUCAUUCAGCUACGGAAGCCCAGCAGCUCAGUAGAGGAGGCUCCAGUGCAACUUGACUCCGCAGUUAGACCUAGUCACAGCCCCCAGCCCAGGAGACAGGCCCAGGAUGGCGCCGAGCAGACCCUUUGGGGCUGUAUUGUGGGUCUUUCAUGUCAUCAGAUGACUUGGUUGGAGCAGCCCUGUGGCCAGGCCUUGGGAAAUGUCCUCUUGUGGGUUGCUAUGAUUCUCUGUAGGGUCCUGGUGCAUUCUUCUCAGAGACUAGAGAUCUCCCCACUUCUUUUGCUCAAAGCCAUGGCCGGGAAGUGGCCAGUUACUUAACCCUUCUGUCUCUGUUUCUCCACGUGGAAGUGCUGGCAUUUAGUGUAUAUGUGUGUGAUGUGUGUCCAUGAGCCAGGGGUGCUGUCUGGAUCCUGCAAAUGUGUAGGACAGUUUCGCCCAGUGAAUAAUUCUCCCACAUUCCAUACAACUUUUUAAGUGCCCACCCAGGUCGCUGUGUACUCCACUUCCGUGAUGCAGUAAAUGGCUGUGCAAUGCACAAUCUAUACAACCAUCAGAGAGGUCCUAGGUUUGACAGUCAUCCCAGUGGAAAAACCUGUUUACAGUGACCAGAGCUCUAAAUCUUACUGUUUUACAUAUAAGCAUGGAGUAUUUUUGCAUGGCUCUAAUGCACACUGGAUUUUCUAGGACUGAAACUCUUGUGGCAAUUGAGAAGGAAAUUGUCCUCUGUUCUGCACAGAUCCUUACCAAGCAUUGUGCACCAUUUCAGAAACCACCAUUCAUGUAGCCAUUCUGUGGCCCUUAAGUCAACAGGACACUGCCCUGUGGCAGGCGGCAGUGACAGCAGUUCCACUGUGUGGUUUUGUCUUUAGGUGCAAGCAUUCUACUUUUUAAAUUAUUCCUGAGCAUUUACAUAUUGAAAUAUAUAUUUAAUUAUAACUUACUUUCCUUUGAUUUCUCCUUUAUCUUACAGCUGGGUCAAUAUAUUGAUUU